rnacentral:ncRNA from 1 species
ACAGCUCUCCAUUUUCAAGCUGUGCAUAGCUUUAAUAAGGAGGAACAUGCAGGCCCAUGACUCGGGCUGCGGCAGUGUGGAGACCUGUCGCAAGGCGGCAAGCCCCUCGCGGCUGGCCGUGAGCACACAGCAAGCGGAGGCUCUGUGUGCGGAGUCGGUAAACAUGGCA